rnacentral:misc_RNA from 1 species
AAGUCGUAACAAGGUUUCCGUAGGUGAACCUGCGGAAGGAUCAUUAACGAGUUAUUGAACAGGUUGUAGCUGGCCUUCAGGGGCAUGUGCACGCCUGGCUCAUCCACUCUUCAACCUCUGUGCACUUGUUGUAGGUCGGUGGAAGGGUAAGUCUAAGUGAUUAGACUUGCUUGGAAGCCUUCCUAUGUUUUUACAAACGCUUCAGUUUAAGAAUGUAUCUCUGCGUAUAACGCAUUUAUAUACAA